AGCAGCUUCACUAACAGACAUGGCGGACACACACAGGGUCUACUCUACCUCCCUCUCACCUGCUUGUGGACAGGGGGGAGAGGGUGGCGUGCUUCGGCCCCUCCUGUCCACCUGCCAGGUGGGAGGCUGGUCUGUGUGGUGAGUGACCUCAGGAGGGGGCACCUCGAGGUCAGCUGGAGGUCGCCAUCAAAAGGCCACGUGUCCAGCAGCUUUGCUUUAGACGGAAAGCAUCGUGGCAACCAGGGAUUGGCCGUCCUACAGCUGCUCGGUGGGUCACAGAGGUCGCCUAGAGGGCACCAGAAGACACCGAACCACCUCAUCGGGUCCAACUGCAGCUGAUCGGGAAUUUGCUUCCUGACAUCUCUCCUCCCAAAUAGACUUUUUAUUUUAAAAUUGUAAUACAUUUCUAUGAUUACAGAUCAUGAAGACAAGAUCAAGAGACCGGAGGUCACAUGUUCACUGCAGAUCAUUCAGACAGAUGCUGUUCCUGUUGUUGUAUCUCCAGAUGUUGACGUGAGGACAGUGGUGGUCCUGGGGGCGAGGCGGCUUCUCAUGGAGCCGUUUGUCUCAACACAUUGAGGACCACCUACGCUGUCAUUAAGCAGAGUGAUCUGCGUGACUUAUUUGGACCAUCAGCGAGAUAAUAACCAGGUCUUCACUCACCUUCACAAUGUUGUCUUGCAGUGUGGAAAUGUAUUUCAAAUCUGAAAUUAUAUCCUAAGCAAUGUAUAUGACAUGUCAGAUGCUUGGAAGUAAAGAGCUUCCGAUGCAUCGCGUCACCUGGAAAAGAAAACUUCCCCUAGUGGGAGGGGAACUCCUUCCUGCAGGGAGGAUCUCCACGUUGGAAGAGGUUGAGCAGUCGUCCCACAGCUGGCGUUAUGAUGAUGGUUUUACUCUGAGGUUUGUGUUGGAAUCUCAAGGAUUAAAUGGGAAAUGACCCACCGUCAGCAUCACAGGAGUAACAGGUCUCACAUGCUUCAAAUCCUCUGUGGCGCCCUCUUCUCAUGGACACGUGCAGGUGUUACCGACUGGCGGUUGAAAACCGAUCGUCUACGGGGGAACGCUACCUGAUCGAAACCUCACCUCAGACAGAUGGGUUCAUGCACACGCUCUUCAGUGUGUGUGUUCAACUUUAAUCCUGAAUUCCCUCGAAACAAAUUGAGGGGGAAACUUGAGUCAAUAUAUAAUUUACCAAUUUUAAAUGGUGUAUGUUGUUUUUAUCUUACUGUUGAAUGUGGGUAAACAUGUAAACAUGAAGUCCGAUUUGUUUAGACUUUAUUGUUUUUUAAAUAAAACACCUGCAGUUUU